rnacentral:rRNA from 1 species
CCCGGCAGGGAUAAACGCUGAAGGCAUCUAAGCGUGAAGCCCCCCUCAAGAUGAGAUAUCCGCCCAUUAGGGAAAGGCCCCUUCUAGACGAGGAGGUAGAUAGGCGGGAGGUGUAAGUGCAGCGAUGCAUGUGCUGGCCCGUACUAAUAGGCCGGAAGCUUGACCA